UGGAGUUAAUGGAGUUAACUAGAGCUAACGAGGUGAUGAACAGGCUCUUCUCUGCUCAACAGCAACGAGACCAACAUGGACUGUAGAAGGAGCCUCGCAAUGCGGUGAGGAUCCCCAAGACAUCUGAUGAAUGAGUGAAUGCUGCUGCAGCCGUUCCUGCUGCUGACUUUGUGGCGUAUUUGUGACCUGUUC